rnacentral:rRNA from 1 species
UACGGGGGGGGCAAGCGUUGUUCGGAAUUACUGGGCGUAAAGGGCGCGUAGGCGGCCGCCUAAGUCAGACGUGAAAUCCCUCGGCUCAACCGGGGAACUGCGUCUGAUACUGGGUGGCUUGAAUCCGGGAGAGGGAUGCAGAAUUCCAGGUGUAGCGGUGAAAUGCGUAGAUAUCUGGAGGAAUACCGGUGGCGAAGGCGGCAUCCUGGACCGGCAUUGACGCUGAGUGAGCGAAAGCCAGGGGAGCAAACGGG